rnacentral:rRNA from 1 species
AGAGUUUGAUCAUGGCUCAGAUUGAACGCUGGCGGCGUGCUUAACACAUGCAAGUCGAGCGAGAAAGCUCUCUUCGGAGAGUGAGUAGAGCGGCGCACGGGUGAGUAACGCGUGGAUAAUCUACCCUGAAGAUCGGGAUAACAGUUGGAAACGACUGCUAAUACCGGAUACCCUGCAUAUUUAACUUUAUGUGGUAAAGGUGGCCUCUAUUUAUAAGCUACCGCUUUGGGAUGAGUCCGCGUCUCAUUAGCUUGUUGGUGGGGUAAUGGCCUACCAAGGCAACGAUGAGUAGCUGGUCUGAGAGGAUGAUCAGCCACACUGGGACUGAAACACGGCCCAGACUCCUACGGGAGGCAGCAGUGGGGAAUAUUGCGCAAUGGGGGAAACCCUGACGCAGCGACGCCGCGUGCGGGAAGAAGGCCUUCGGGUCGUAAACCGCUGUCAGGAGGGAAGAAACUGUUAGGGUAUAAUACGCCCUUUCACUGACGGUACCUCCAAAGGAAGCACCGGCUAACUCCGUGCCAGCAGCCGCGGUAAUACGGAAGGUGCGAGCGUUAAUCGGAAUCACUGGGCGUAAAGCGCACGUAGGCGGCGCAUCAAGUCAGGCGUGAAAGCCCUCGGCUCAACCGGGGAAUUGCGUUUGAAACUGGUGUGCUGGAGUCUCGGAGAGGUUGGCGGAAUUCCAGGUGUAGGAGUGAAAUCCGUAGAUAUCUGGAGGAACACCGGUGGCGAAAGCGGCCAACUGGACGAGUACUGACGCUGAGUGCGAAAGCGUGGGGAGCAAACAGGAUUAGAUACCCUGGUAGUCCACGCUGUAACGA